rnacentral:rRNA from 1 species
GACGAAGGGGGCUAGCGUUGUUCGGAAUUGCUGGGCGUAAAGCGCGUGUAGGCGGUUGGCCAAGUCGGGUGUGAAAGCCUUGAGCUCAACUCAAGAAAUGCACUCGGUACUGGGUGACUAGAGGACCGGAGAGGAUAGUGGAAUUCCCAGCGUAGUGGUGAAAUACGUAGAGAUUGGGAAGAACACCAGUGGCGAAGGCGGCUAUCUGGACGGUUUCUGACGCUAAGACGCGAAAGCGUGGGGAGCAAACAGG